rnacentral:rRNA from 1 species
CAGGCUUAACACAUGCAAGUCGAGGGGCAGCAUGGUCUUAGCUUGCUAAGACUGAUGGCGACCGGCGCACGGGUGAGUAACACGUAUCCAACCUGCCGUCUACUCUUGGACAGCCUUCUGAAAGGAAGAUUAAUACAAGAUGGCAUCAUGAGUCCGCAUGUUCACAUGAUUAAAGGUAUUCCGGUAGACGAUGGGGAUGCGUUCCAUUAGAUAGUAGGCGGGGUAACGGCCCACCUAGUCUUCGAUGGAUAGGGGUUCUGAGAGGAAGGUCCCCCACAUUGGAACUGAGACACGGUCCAAACUCCUACGGGAGGCAGCAGUGAGGAAUAUUGGUCAAUGGGCGAGAGCCUGAACCAGCCAAGUAGCGUGAAGGAUGACUGCCCUAUGGGUUGUAAACUUCUUUUAUAAAGGAAUAAAGUCGGGUAUGGAUACCCGUUUGCAUGUACUUUAUGAAUAAGGAUCGGCUAACUCCGUGCCAGCAGCCGCGGUAAUACGGAGGAUCCGAGCGUUAUCCGGAUUUAUUGGGUUUAAAGGGAGCGUAGAUGGAUGUUUAAGUCAGUUGUGAAAGUUUGCGGCUCAACCGUAAAAUUGCAGUUGAUACUGGAUAUCUUGAGUGCAGUUGAGGCAGGCGGAAUUCGUGGUGUAGCGGUGAAAUGCUUAGAUAUCACGAAGAACUCCGAUUGCGAAGGCAGCCUGCUAAGCUGCAACUGACAUUGAGGCUCGAAAGUGUGGGUAUCAAACAGGAUUAGAUACCCUGGUAGUCCACACGGUAAACGAUGAAUACUCGCUGUUUGCGAUAUACGGCAAGCGGCCAAGCGAAAGCGUUAAGUAUUCCACCUGGGGAGUACGCCGGCAACGGUGAAACUCAAAGGAAUUGACGGGGGCCCGCACAAGCGGAGGAACAUGUGGUUUAAUUCGAUGAUACGCGAGGAACCUUACCCGGGCUUAAAUUGCAGAUGAAUUACGGUGAAAGCCGUAAGCCGCAAGGCAUCUGUGAAGGUGCUGCAUGGUUGUCGUCAGCUCGUGCCGUGAGGUGUCGGCUUAAGUGCCAUAACGAGCGCAACCCUUGUUGUCAGUUACUAACAGGUUCCGCUGAGGACUCUGACAAGACUGCCAUCGUAAGAUGUGAGGAAGGUGGGGAUGACGUCAAAUCAGCACGGCCCUUACGUCCGGGGCUACACACGUGUUACAAUGGGGGGUACAGAGGGCCGCUACCACGCGAGUGGAUGCCAAUCCCAAAAACCUCUCUCAGUUCGGACUGGAGUCUGCAACCCGACUCCACGAAGCUGGAUUCGCUAGUAAUCGCGCAUCAGCCACGGCGCGGUGAAUACGUUCCCGGGCCUUGUACACACCGCCCGUCAAGCCAUGGGAGCCGGGGGUACCUGAAGUGCGUAACCGCGAGGAGCGCCCUAGGGUAAAACUGGUGACUGGG